UUCAGCUGUAAGACCCUGCAUUCAGAGUGAAGCAGAAGGGCAGCACAGCCUCAAAUACCAGCACAUAUAUCUACAUUUUUUUCAAUUCUAGAGCUUCCCCCAGGUGAAUGAGCCCCUUGUCUCAUCCACCACAGGCUUCAGGUAUGCUUCUGCCACUGCUGGAUUUGGGAAACCUGAAGAAAGCUGCAGCUCCCGCAAUUUCUUCUUGACUCUGGUAUCACGUGGAUUAGGUUCAUCAAGUCUCUUUUCUCUAUGGGCAAGCUACAGCACCUUCUCACAUGCUCAGGAAGAAACAACCUUGACUCCACUAGGGAUCCAGCUCUGCAAUGAACUUGGAGGCAGUUGCACAGUUUUAAAGCUGCUCUAUUUCUUCACUAGUCUUGCUGUAAUUGCUGCAUCAACACAUCGUUUUGAUUACCUGCCAUUUCAAGUACCGAUACAACGGAGUUACAUAUUUUAUA